rnacentral:rRNA from 1 species
AGUGGCGGACGGGUGAGGAACGCGUAGGGAUUUAUCGUUGGGUGGGGGAUAACCGCGGGAAACUGCGGCUAAUACCGCAUGACGCCUGUGGGCCAAAGCAGUGAUGCGCCUGAUGAGGAGCCUGCGUCCGAUUAGCUAGUAGGUUGGGUAAUGGCUGACCUAGGCUGUGAUCGGUAGCUGGUCUGAGAGGAUGAUCAGCCACACUGGGACUGAGACACGGCCCAGACUCCUACGGGAGGCAGCAGUGGGGAAUAUUGGACAAUGGGCGCAAGCCUGAUCCAGCAAUGCCGCGUGGAUGAAGAAGGUUUUCGGAUUGUAAAGUCCUUUCGGCGGGGACGAUGAUGACGGUACCCGCAGAAGAAGCCCCGGCUAACUUCGUGCCAGCAGCCGCGGUAAUACGAAGGGGGCUAGCGUUGCUCGGAAUGACUGGGCGUAAAGGGCGCGUAGGCGGAUGGUGCAGUCAGACGUGAAAUUCCUGGGCUUAACCUGGGGGCUGCGUUUGAGACGCAUGGUCUAGAGUUUGGAAGAGGGUCGUGGAAUUCCCAGUGUAGAGGUGAAAUUCGUAGAUAUUGGGAAGAACACCGGUGGCGAAGGCGGCGACCUGGUCCUGGACUGACGCUGAGGCGCGAAAGCGUGGGGAGCAAAC